UGAUUCACUGUUUAAAGUGUUUGUCUCCUGAGUGGCUCAAGAACCUCCCCCUGCAGUAAACUGGCACACCUUUGGUCAGGUAGCAAUCACCUUCCCACACAGAAAGAGGAGGAAGCAGAGCAGGACAGAGGAACAAAAAGGGAGACAUUUAUAUACAUUACAAAUUGUAGUAAGAGAGGUAGGAUGUUAUGGAGAUAAUAGAACAGAACAAGUAAUCAUGAGCAGAAUAAGAAUAGGGCACAGUAAACUGAAUAACACACUUAAUAUAAUAGGAAAACAUCCAACUGGUCAGUGUAGCUAUGGGGAGAGGGAGACAGUGGAGCAUGUGAUUGUAGCAUGUCCUGGAUAUGAAAGGGAGAGGGAAAUGAUGAGUACAGGGGUUGCGGAAGGCAGGAAUAGGGGAAAAUAAAUUCAAGAGUAUAGUAGACACUAGGGAAGGGAGGAGAGCCAUUGUGAGAUUUCUUGUCUCAACUGGGUUAAUUAAAAGAAUGUAACAGAAGAGGACAUAAGAAAGAAGUGAAGUCCAGCAGAUGGCAGUAUAUGCAACAUUAAGGAUGCCGACUGCCAAUAAACGCGAAAGAAGAAGAAGAAGGAAGCAGGACAGAGGAACUGGGAGAAGCAAACAAACAUGGCAGAGAGGGAAAGGAUGCUAGAGGGAAAAAAUAAAAAAGAUGUGCUGGCUGAGUGGAUUGCCACACCUGUGCUUUAGAGCGUGUGUGCAACAUCAGACAGAUGCGAGGACUAGAGGGAAGCUUUUGUCAUCCUCAGAAGAUCUGCUCGAGAACAAAGACGACACACGCUUCAGGAAACGACACAACACAGAGCCUCACAUGCACUCAGCAAGUAAAGACAGUCCAAGUGAAAACUUCAAAGAUGUGGAAAACUUCAAAUCCAACUUCUCGAAGGCUGGUGUUUCUGUUUGAAAGACUGACGAGGGAUCCCCGAGGAGGCAACGCGAGACUAACCUCUGCAGAAGUCACCCAGUGUUAAAAGCAUUUUUCAUCCUGGACCUUAUUUCACCAUGUUCCAGUGUCAAAGUGAGUGAAUUUAAUCCAGUAUGGAACGAGAGCGCUGCAGCCUGCAGCCACAAAACGGACUACAAUAUUAUUCCCCGGGAAAUUGUGCACUGUCAAACUACAUCCAUUAAAAAUCCUU